GAAACCAGGUUCAGGAAGAAAGGAGGCCAGCCCCAAGGUCCCAGGGAUUCAUCAUGGCCCUUAUAGGGUACCCCAUUUCAGCUCAGUGUGACAGGAGGCCACAGGAUGCAUGGUCCAUAUCUUGGUGCCAGCAUCAUGGAGAAGGGUCAUUGAAAGUCUCUGGCUCGUGUGCUUCUGGUACAAGCAGCAAACCACCCCAAUAAGAAGUAAACAAGGGACCACAAGACGGCUCACUGGGUAAAAGCAAUUGCAGCAAAGCUUGAGGGCCUGAGUUCAAACCCAAGACCUACAUGGUAAAGGGGGAGAACUGACUCCUGAAAGUUGUCCUCUAACCUCUACAUGCGGGAACCCCCACACAUGAACACAAAAUAAAUUAAAAUGUACUUUUUUU
rnacentral:lncRNA from 1 species